rnacentral:rRNA from 1 species
GACGAACGCUGGCGGCGUGCCUAAUACAUGCAAGUUGAGCGCUGAAGGUUGGUACUUGUACCAACUGGAUGAGCAGCGAACGGGUGAGUAACGCGUGGGGAAUCUGCCUUUGAGCGGGGGACAACAUUUGGAAACGAAUGCUAAUACCGCAUAAAAACUUUAAACACAAGUUUUAAGUUUGAAAUAUGCAAUUGCAUCACUCAAAGAUGAUCCCGCGUUGUAUUAGCUAGUUGGUGAGGUAAAGGCUCACCAAGGCGAUGAUACAUAGCCGACCUGAGAGGGUGGUCGGCCACACUGGGACUGAGACACGGCCCAAACUCCUACGGGAGGCAGCAGUACGGAAUCGUCAGCAAUGGACGAAAGUCUGACCAAGCAACGCCGCGUGAGUGAAGAAGGUUUUCGGAUCGUAAAACUCUGUUGGUAGGGAAGAACGUUGGUGAGAGUGGAAAGCUCAUCAAGUGACGGUAACUACCCAGAAAGGGACGGCUAACUACGUG